UACGUAGGGUGCGAGCGUUAAUCGGAAUUACUGGGCGUAAAGCGUGCGCAGGCGGUUGUGCAAGACAGGUGUGAAAUCCCCGGGCUUAACCUGGGAACUGCACUUGUGACUGCCCAGCUGGAGUGCGGCAGAGGGGGAUGGAAUUCCGCGUGUAGCAGUGAAAUGCGUAGAUAUGCGGAGGAACACCGAUGGCGAAGGCAAUCCCCUGGGCCUGCACUGACGCUCAUGCACGAAAGCGUGGGGAGCAAACAGG
rnacentral:rRNA from 1 species